rnacentral:rRNA from 1 species
GUUAUAGGGACAAGUGAAUAAGUGCACAUGGUGGAUGCCUUGGCGAUUACAGGCGAUGAAGGACGUAGUAGCUUGCGAUAAGCUGCGGGGAGUGAGCAAACACACUUUGAUCCGCAGAUUUCCGAAUGGGGAAACCCGGCCUUUUAGGUCAUUGCAUACUGAAUACAUAGGUAUGCAAAGCGAACGCGGCGAACUGAAACAUCUAAGUAGCUGCAGGAAAAUAAAUCAACCGAGAUUCCCAAAGUAGUGGCGAGCGAAAUGGGAAGAGCCUGC